rnacentral:rRNA from 1 species
GACGAACGCUGGCGGCGUGCCUAAUACAUGCAAGUAGGACGCAGUUGCGAACGGGUGAGUAACGCGUAGGUAACUACCUAUUAGAGGGGGAUAACUAUUGGAAACGAUAGCUAAUACCGCAUACUAGUAGAUGGACCUGCGUUGUAUUAGCUAGUAUGUAGGGUAAUGGCCUACCUAGGCAACGAUACAUAGCCUAGCGGGGGGGGAGAUCGGCCACACUGGGACGUAGAAAAGGGCCAGACUCCUACGGGAGGCAGCAGUAGGGAAUCUUCGGCAAUGGGGGGAACCCUGACCGAGCAAAGCCGGGUGAGUGAAGAAGGUUUUCGGAUCGUAAAGCUCUGUUGUGAAGGGAGCGGUACUUAACCAGAAAGGGACGGCUAACUACGUGCCAGCAGCCGCGGUAAUAC